AGUCCCGAUCGAGUUUGGAAGCUCCAACCUUUGCAGGUACGAUGGGACAGAGAUGAAGCACGAGGCCGGCUAUGAUGCUUACAUGACGGCGGCAGUCUUUGCCAACAUCUGCCAGUUUGUGAAGAUGGAUCCCGCGAACUUGCCUUCACUCUGCGAGCAAGCAAAAGAAGGCGAGGAAGAAAGAUCAGGCCUUGGGAGCCACGCAAAUCACUUGUACCUUGGUUGGCGAGGGCACUUUGUCCUCGAUCUUUCGACUGGCCAGGAAGCAACUGGUCCCAGGUCACUCAAGUCUUC
rnacentral:lncRNA from 1 species